rnacentral:lncRNA from 1 species
GCUAUUGCAUAUUAGCAGACUAUAUUUGGAAUGAGAGAGUUACUAAAUGUGAGACUAUUGGAUUGCACAUUAAAUUUAAUGGAAUGGGUGUAUAUGUUUUCUUAAUUAAAGCCUAACCUGGAAACCAUCUGUUUAUGGGGAUUAGCUCCUUUGUCCCAGUGGCCUUCUACCUAGUGCUGAGUUAACUAUAAAUCUUGGUAAAUAGUUUUCUCUGUAUAAUUUGUUUUUAAUGAUCUUUUGAAAGUGACCUUUAUGGACAAGUUUUAUUUAAGUAAAUAACCUACAAUUCUGUCUCUUGGCUCUCUUUGCUCUCCUCCUCUGUUUGAACACUAGAAGUUCGAAAAGAAGUUGCCAGGAAGUGACCUUACUCAAGGACAUCCAGGUGCCCAAGACCAAGAUAAUUUACAGAAUGGAAUCAGUCCUAAAUGAACAGCAGUGGGUUUUCUGAAUUUUCACUUAAAAAUGCAUCUGACUCGGCCUGCAACCUCAUCAACUGUUGUUUGAUUGUUUACUCUUAAUCUGAAAACUGCC